UUGUAUGUUCAGUGGGGAGCUGGGCUUGGACUCCCACCUCCUUAUCAGUAUUUGGAGUAUGGCAAACUUGCCUUUGCCUCCGUGGCAUAUGGGAAAUGCCCUUCGGUUGGAGAGCACAGGAAAUAAAUCCUCCUGAGAGAAUUUAGACACCUCAAGAUAAACAGCUUGCAAACAGUCGAGAGUGGAAAUGGGGAGGCUUUGCCACAUCUGUUAGCAGAUAUCCAGGAUUACCUUUCCUAGAAGGGAACAGUUGGACUUGAUCAGAGGUAACCAAUGUGGUGCUGUUCAGAUGUUGCUGAACUGUAACUCCCAUCAUCCUUGGCUGGGGCUGGUGGGAAUUGUGGCCCAACAAGCACUUUGGGUAUCUCUGGACAAGUUUGCCAUUUGUAGUACAGGUAUGUACAAUAUCGCAUGACAUAUAUUUGUACUGCAUAUGGCUCAGGGUGGGUAGAUGAUCCUGACCUUGUAUGGUGGACCAGUGAGAUAUAUGCUACAUUCAUGUGCAGGUUGGUGCCUUUGUAGGUGUCUGUUGGCUGUAUUUAUCCCAGAAAGCAAGAUACAAAGAUAUAGGCAGUACAAACAGAGUUCUGCUUUAGUUAUGCUAAAUAUUUGCUGGUGGGGACCAUUGAUCAGUUUUUUUCAUGUGGAGCUACUUCAUAAUAAGUUUUUUUUGGGGGGGGAAUUAGUAGAAGAGCAUACAGACAUGUCUACCACUACAUAGAAUUUUCCACACAACCAAGAGUUCUGUGUGAACUCAAAAGCUUGCAUAGUAUCCUGGAUGGUGGAGCUACAGUCAGUCAGCCUCUUGAUGAAUAUAUCUGCGUAAUAUAUUCUUGUUAUAUUUCAUCUUCUAAAUUUUUAAGGAGUAGGCAUAAAGGCCUUCACACUAAAAAUAAGGUGGGAAGUUAUUUUUCAAUGGAAAUUCAUUACAGAUAUAGCUAACACUUUCCAGCA